rnacentral:tRNA from 1 species
ACUUAUUUAGUUUAUUUAGAACGCUGGUUUGUGGUGUCAGGAGUAUAUUUAUAUAUAUUAAGUA